rnacentral:tRNA from 1 species
UCCCGUGUGGUCUAGUGGCUAGGAUACGCGGCUCUCACCCGCGAGGCCCCGGGUUCGAUUCCGGCACGGGAA